CACGUAGGGCGCAAGCGUUGUCCGGAAUUAUUGGGCGUAAAGAGCUCGUAGGCGGUCUGUUGCGUCUGCUGUGAAAACUCGGGGCUUAACCCCGAGCCUGCAGUGGAUACGAGCAGACUAGAGGUAGGUAGGGGAGAAUGGAAUUCCCGGUGUAGCGGUGAAAUGCGCAGAUAUCGGGAGGAACACCGGUGGCGAAGGCGGUUCUCGGGGCAUUACCUGACGCUGAGGAGCGAAAGUGUGGGGAGCGAACAGG
rnacentral:rRNA from 1 species